rnacentral:lncRNA from 1 species
GUCACUGUGUGCAACUCUUGUUGAACAGCAGGAGCAGAGUUGUUGGAGUACCCAGAAAACCUGUGGUCCUGGGGAACGUGGUGCCCCGUCUGCUGAAAUGGCUGUGCCACAAUGGGACCUGUCACCUGGCUGCUGGGGUUGAAUGUGAGUGGCAGGAUUUGUCACUGACAUUUCAGCAGGGUCCGGCUCUCAGCACUCGAAGGCCUUUCAGCUGCUCUUGCCUU